ACCAAUAAAAAAAUUUAGGUGUUGGACUCCCCUUCGGCUUCACAUGGCCAGCCCUAAUUUCUUAAUCCAAACCUAAUCACACACAAAUACACAAUCACGCUGCCUACAAUAGAUUUGGUCAUCUGCUGUGCUGCUUGCCGACAACAAAUUGCUGCUCUUCGUCUUCGUCUUCGUCUUCGUCCUCAUCCCCGAUCUCUAGCUUGCUGGCUAUUCCCAUUUCCUUUUGUUUCGCAACUUAAUGGUUGUUGCCGGUAGCCUGCUACCUUCUUCAACUCCGAGCUAUAGCUAAUGCCUUCUUAAUUUAGAUUUUCUUCAAGUUCGAGUUGCUGCUACUGUAUUCUUUUGUGAGAGGUAAGCUGAUGGGUUCUUUCAUUUGUACACUAGGGUUUGGGGUUCUCUGAUCAGAAUAUAUCGGCUGGUCUGGUGAUUGCUCAACCGCCGUCGAUUUUUGAGGUGCCGCCCAGGUUGAGCCCCGCAAUUCUACUUGACUCGCUAAAUUUCAGUUUGUUUUCGCCUACACAGGUAAUUCAAUUUAACUUUGUCUGACCUAAAGUUUCUUCAUUUAUUCAUUAGAUUUUAGCUUGUUUAGGAAAGCUUUCAUUUUUAUUGGGUUUCGCAUUUAAAUUCUAAUAAUCCUUGGGUUUGAAUUUUGAUUUUUUUUUUUUUGGAGGGAUGGAAAAUUUUCUUCAUUGCCUUGAUUUGUUAGCAGUCGGUUGGAAUUUUGAAUUAGAGCUUGCUGAAGCAUUUAUUAUAGAAUUUAUAAAUGUGCCCUGUAAUUGGGAUAAAAACUCUUGACUUAAUUAAUCUGACAGAAGAACAUUUUGAGCAAUGUUGUAAUGUGAUUGUGCAUUGCUGAGAUAAUCUCAUCUUGUUUUGGUAUUCUAACCAAUAAAAAAAAAUUUAAGUGUUGGACUCCCCUUCGGCUUCACAUGGCAAGCCCUAAUUUCUUAAUCCAAACCUAAUCACACACAAAUACACAAUCACGCUGCCUACAAUAGAUUUGGUCAUCUGCUGUGCUGCUUGCCGACAACAAAUUGCUGCUCUUCGUCUUCGUCUUCGUCUUCGUCCUCAUCCCCGAUCUCUAGCUUGCUGGCUAUUCCCAUUUCCUUUUGUUUCGCAACUUAAUGGUUGUUGCCGGUAGCCUGCUACCUUCUUCAACUCCGAGCUAUAGCUAAUGCCUUCUUAAUUUAGAUUUUCUUCAAGUUCGAGUUGCUGCUACUGUAUUCUUUUGUGAGAGGUAAGCUGAUGGGUUCUUUCAUUUGUACACUAGGGUUUGGGGUUCUCUGAUCAGAAUAUAUCGGCUGGUCUGGUGAUUGCUCAACCGCCGUCGAUUUUUGAGGUGCCGCCCAGGUUGAGCCCCGCAAUUCUGCUUGACUCGCUAAAUUUCAGUUUGUUUUCGCCUACACAGGUAAUUCAAUUUAACUUUGUCUGACCUAAAGUUUCUUCAUUUAUUCAUUAGAUUUUAGCUUGUUUAGGAAAGCUUUCAUUUUUAUUGGGUUUCGCAUUUAAAUGCUAAUAAUCCUUGGGUUUGAAUUUUGAUUUUUUUUUUUUUGGAGGGAUGGAAAAUUUUCUUCAUUGCCUUGAUUUGUUAGCAGUCGGUUGGAAUUUUGAAUUAGAGCUUGCUGAAGCAUUUAUUAUAGAAUUUAUAAAUGUGCCCUGUAAUUGGGAUAAAAACUCUUGACUUAAUUAAUCUGACAGAAGAACAUUUUGAGCAAUGUUGUAAUGUGAUUGUGCAUUGCUGAGAUAAUCUCAUCUUGUUUUGGUAUUCUAAGUAUCCAAAUGGACUGGAUAGUAGGCUAUCCAGGUCAAGUUUUAAUGGUAAUUGGGCAUUUUUCUUUCCUGAUUUUAGUUUCAUCUCUUUUUAGAUGAAGCAUAUGGUUAAUGCAAACAAUUAACGAAAGAAAAGCUCUUGGUAUUACUAGUGUUGGAGAUCCAAUUGUCUUCAUGUAAACUGUGAACACUUUUAACUCCCAUAUCUAAGAUAUAGAGAUCUUUAUGUAGCUUUAAGCCAAAUAUGUGAGAAAUUCUCCAAUCUAGUCACAACUUUAUUAGCAACCAAGAAUGAAAGAGUAUUAGCUUCCAGUUAUAAUUUGAUGACCGGAGCUUGAAUGAGUGAGUGAUAACUUGUAUUGUCUAUAUUGCUUUGUAUGUCAUGCCUCACUGGCAUUAUGUUACUUGGGUAUCCAAAUUUUGCGUUUAUCUAUUACUAAUUUCCCUGAUUCAUUGGAUGCAACCUAGGGAGCCUUUAGAAUGAAGCACUAGCAGGCCCUAGCACAGGUCACUGCCCAAGCUG
rnacentral:lncRNA from 1 species